UCUGAAUUUAUGGAGAAAGCUCAUGAGGAAUCACAGGUCAUAGUUACAGAACUGACCUAACAAUGUCUUCUUUACAUAGGUGUGCUCUAUGUGGUCAGGUGUGCACUACCCCUUUUUAAGAGAGUGGAUCAGAUGAGCCGGAGGCUGGAGCUUGGAGAGGCAGUUUAAACCUGACUCUGGAGUUGUGAGGACGCACAAUAAAAUAUUCCUUAUUCAAGUUUACCCUUAGUCUGCCUCAUGUUCUAUUUAUGGUUCCAAUGAGCUACAAACAUAAUACAAGGGCUGGAGUUGGAACUGUUUUAUGAAGUGCCUAGCCACUGAAUACAUUAAAACACCAAGGGGAGAUGAGAUGUUGGUGUGAGCAACUUUUGAUGCAGAAAACAAUUCCUGCUAUGAAAUUGGAUUGUCGUUUGAAACGCCCCUGGAAUUUGUUCCAAUUGUAGUUUUAUUGAAUCACCUCUUUCGCAUGCCUGCCAUACUUUGUAUAAAGUGUGUGUGUAUGUGUGCGUGAGUGUGAGACACACACGUUCCUAAGGAAAUAACAAGCAACUUUUAUAUUGUUGCUUGAUCUCGUCAGUUGUCUGCAUGUUGAAACAAGGGAAGCAGUUUCUUUGCCAUUGCCAGUAUGUAGUGAAUUGCUGGUGUGCUGUUUAUGGUUUUUCCAUCCAUUAACUUUGUGAAAAGUGUAUGAUAUGAUUUGUAAUUUUCAGAUGUGCUUCUGUGUGAAGUCUACGGCCAAUGUAUAUUUAAAUUAGUUCCCAGUGUUGCCUUGCAUGUGGAUGUUUCAUGUAUAAUGAUUCCCUGGAGUUUUAUGACAUCAAUAUACUGUUAAUUCUUCCAACUUGAAUUCUUGACCAAGAGAACAAUUAGGUUUGUAUUACUUAACAUGCA